GUAGUCCAUGCCUUAAACGAUGUAUACUAGGAGUAAGAGGGCUCAACCCCCCUUGUUCCGGAGCUAACGCAUUAAGUAUACCGCCUGGGGAGUACGCUCGCAAGGGUGAAACUCAAAAGAAUUGACGGGGGCCCGCACAAGCAGUGGAGCAUGUGGUUUAAUUCGAUGCAACGCGAAGAACCUUACCUGGGCUAGAAGUGUAGAGGACGACAUCAGAGAUGAUGUUUCUCGAAAGGGUCUUUACAUAGGUGCUGCAUGGCUGUCGUCAGCUCGUGCCGUGAGGUGUUUGGUUAAGUCCAGCAACGAGCGCAACCCUUAUCGUUAGUUGCCAACGCGUAAUGGCGGGAACUCUAACGAGACUGCCUGGGUUAACCAGGA
rnacentral:rRNA from 1 species